UACAGAGGUCUCAAGCGUUGUUCGGAUUCAUUGGGCGUAAAGGGUGCGUAGGCGGCGAGGUAAGUUGGAUGUGAAAUCCCGGGGCUCAACCCUGGAACUGCAUUCGAUACUGCCUUGCUCGAGGACUCGAGAGGAGAUUGGAAUUCACGGUGUAGCAGUGAAAUGCGUAGAUAUCGUGAGGAAGACCAGUGGCGAAGGCGGAUCUCUGGAGAGUUCCUGACGCUGAGGCACGAAGGCCAGGGGAGCAAACGGG
rnacentral:rRNA from 1 species